ensembl:lncRNA
GUGUGUGCAUGCGUGCGUGUGUGUGUGUGCCUGCGUGCGUGUGCGUAAAUAUCAGUAAAAAUGACCUCUCUACCCCCCCAUAACGGAGGGGCGGAGGUGGAUGAGAGAGAGGAGGGGGAGGAGAGAGACAUAACACCAGGCAGUAGGGGGUGAGAGAGAGGAGGGAGAGGAGAGAGAGGAGGGGGAGGAGAGAGACAUAAGACCAGGCAGUAGGGGGAGGAGAGAGAGGAGGGAGAGGAGAGAGGGAUAACACCAGGCAGUAGGGGGGUGAGAGAGAGGAGGGAGAGGAGAGAGAGGAGGGGGAGGAGAGAGACAUAAGACCAGGCAGUAGGGGAGGAGAGAGAGGAGGGAGAGGAGAGAGAGGAGGGGGAGGAGAGAGACAUAAGACCAGGCAGUAGGGAGGUGAGAGAGAGGAGGGAGAGGAGAGAGACAUAACACCAGGCAGUAG